GACGAACGCUGGCGGCGUGCCUAACACAUGCAAGUCGAACGCGAAAGGGGCUUCGGCCCUGAGUAGAGUGGCGUCCGGGUGAGUAACGCGUGGGUAAUCUACCCUCGGGUGGGGAAUAACCAAUCGAAAGAUUGGCUAAUACCGCAUAAUGCAGCGGCUCGACAUCGAGACAGUUGUUAAAGCAGCAAUGCGCCAGAGGAGGAGCCUGCGUCUGAUUAGCUGUUGGCGGGGUAACGGCCCACCAAGGCUACGAUCAGUAGCUGGUCUGAGAGGACGGCCAGCCACAAUGGCACUGAAACACGGGCCAUACUCCUACGGGAGGCAGCAGUGAGGAAUUUUGGACAAUGGGGCAACCCUGAUCCAGCGACGCCGCGUGAAGGAUGAAGGUCUUCGGAUUGUAAACUUCUUUUAUUUGGGACUAAGAAACUCAUAGAAAUAUGGGGAGUGAAUGUACCAAGUGAAUAAGCCACGGCUAACUUCGUGCCAGCAGCCGC
rnacentral:rRNA from 1 species